AGCUGGGAGAGCGAGGCGUGGAGAGGAACCUAGAGACCGAAGGGGGAGGUUUCCCAGGAACAGAUUCCGAGACCGCACCCGAUUGAGGAUGGCCGAUAGCUCCUCUAAGUCCGAGCCUCAGGCUUUGCAAGAGCUCAAUGACGAUUUCAAGAAACCAACCCUGCCGGUGCCCCCGGCUGUGCGGGGCAGGGCCCCCGCCACCAGUCCUUCAGACCCUGAGGAGGUGAAGAAGGAAGGGCCCACGGCGCUGCUAGACCCCGAUUCCGUGGAGCCUGACGUCCCGCCAGUGCGGCCGGACAGCGGGGACACCAGGAGUCCACCGGAGGAGCAGCCGCGGCCGCCCACAGCGGCUCCAUCCCCUGGCGGUCCGGCCCGGGCUCCCCCAUACCGAGAGCCGCCGUGGGGCGGCCCCGCCACGGCCCCCUACAGCCUAGAGACACUGAAGAGCGGCACCAUCCUUGGCACCUGGAGCUUGAAAGGGACAAGCUACUGCCUUUUCGGGAGGCUGUCUAGCUGCGACGUGUGCCUGGAGCACCCUUCGGUGUCUCGGUACCACGCCGUGCUGCAGCACAGGGUGUCCGGCCUCGAAGGAGAAUGCGACGGCCACGGGCCUGGCUUCUACCUUUACGAUCUGGGAAGCACCCAUGGCACUUUUCUUAACAAAACCCGCAUCCCACCCCGCACCUAUUGUCGCGUCCACGUCGGGCAUGUUCUUCGCUUUGGAGGCAGCACCCGGCUGUUUCUUCUUCAGGGACCAGAGGAAGACCGAGAAGCAGAAUCCGAGUUGACAGUAACGCAAUUGAAAGAAUUGCGCAAGCAGCAACAAAUGAUGUUGGAGAAGAAGAUGCUAGGAGAAGACUCGGAUGAGGAAGAAGAAAUGGAUACCAAUGAAAGGAAGAGAAAUACUAGUAGUCAAGAUGAUGAAAUGGGCUGCACCUGGGGAAUGGGAGAAGAUGCUGUAGAGGACGAGGCUGAAGAGAACCCUAUUGUCUUAGAGUUUCAGCAGGAAAGGGAGGCCUUCUAUAUAAAGGAUCCAAAGAAGGCUCUCCAAGGUUUUUUUGACCGAGAAGGAGAAGAAUUAGAAUAUGAAUUUGAUGAACAGGGGCACAGCACUUGGCUCUGUAGGGUGAGAUUACCUGUGGAUGAUUCAACUGGAAAACAACUGGUAGCUGAGGCCAUUCAUUCGGGAAAGAAAAAAGAAGCAAUGAUCCAGUGUUCACUGGAGGCUUGUCGAAUCCUUGAUACUUUGGGGUUGCUGCGGCAGGAGGCAGUAUCUCGGAAAAGGAAAGCCAAGAACUGGGAGGAUGAAGACUUUUAUGAUAGUGAUGAUGACACAUUUCUUGAUCGGACUGGCCUGGUUGAAAAGAAACGUCUGAACCGUAUGAAGAAGGCUGGGAAGAUUGAUGAGAAGCCAGAGACGUUUGAAUCAUUGGUUGCAAAGUUAAAUGAUGCUGAAAGGGAACUCUCUGAAAUUUCUGAGAAACUGAAAGCGUCAAGCAAAGCUUUAUCAGAGUCGCCAUCUCAGGACUCCUUAGAUGCGUUCAUGUCAGAAAUGAAAUCCGGGAGUGCAUUGGAUGGUGUGUCCCGGAAGAAACUUCACCUGAGAACUUUUGAACUGAGGAAAGAACUACAGAGACUUAAAGGGUUGAUAAAAAUUGUAAAACCAGCAGAGAUUCCAGAACUAAAAAAGACUGAAAGUCAGACUACAGAUGUGGAAAACAAAGCUAAAAAGCUUACGUUGCCUCUCUUUGGUGCCAUGAAAGGAGGAAGCAAAUUCAAAUUAAAAACGGGAACAGUAGGGAAGUUACCCCCCAAACGUCCAGAGCUCCCUCCAGCUCUAAUGAGAAUGAAGGAUGAGCCUGAAGUGGAAGAGGAGGAGGAGGAAGAAGAAGAAGAAGAUGUGGAGAAGGAAAAGGAGGAGGAUGAAAAGAAAAAAAUGGAGGCUGAGAGCAGUAGGUUACAGGCGGAGAUAGAGCCAGAAGAAGCAGUGCAGGAAGCGAGGCCUCCCACUGAUCUCACAUGUUCUAAAGAAACAAAAAACCAUGAAAACAUGUCUCAACUCAGCCAAGUGCAACAGAAUAAAGAUUAUCAAGAGAUUAGUGAAACAGCUGCAUCAUGUGAGGAACCCUCAGCAUCAAAGAAUGAAUAUGAGAAAAACAGAAAUGAAUUGAAGAAAAAGAAAGCUCCCGGUCCAGGCAAACUUCCAGCAACACUUUCCUCCAGAUAUCCAGAAGAUGACCCAGACUACUGUGUGUGGGUCCCACCUGAAGGCCAAAGUGGAGAUGGCAGGACCCAUCUUAAUGACAAGUAUGGCUAUUGACUGCUUCAGAAUCCUGAAGGAAGACUUGUGGACCAUGUGACAUGGGAUAUUUAGGAUAAUAUAUCAAGUUGAAUGUCCAGAGAAGGAGUUCAGUGACUCCACACCCAAGGGGAGAGGGAAUGAGGAAACCUUCGGAAAGUGCCGCCUAUCUGAUGAAGUUACCAUCAUAAGAUGAAGAGACCGAGAUGCCAAGACAUUAAGUAACACUGUGUUCAAGGUUACAGCACAUCCAUAGCAAAGAUGGGACUUGAACCCAGGUAUUCUGCUGCCAAGAUAGAAAAGAUCUCUGCCUGCACCAUCCUCAGUAAGUGGUUUUUGAAUCGGCAGAUCAGCAUCACGUGGGAUCUUGUUGGAGAUGCAAAUUAUUGGGCCCUGGCCCAGACCUACCGAAUCAGAGACUCCUAGGAUAGGCCCAGCAAUCUGUUUUCAGCAGCCAUGAGGGUGAUUCUGUUGCAGAGUUCAAGGUUCAAGGUCAGGAACCCGGGCCUAGGCAGUAACUGCUCCAGCAGCCCAGAGCCAGAGGAGGGCGCUCCAAGGCAAACUUUCACCUCUAAGCAGUCUGGGCAGCUGGGAUGGGAAGAGGUAGUGGGCAGGGUAGAAGGGAAUAAAAGGCACAGACUGAGUUAGGAGACACAGUUCUAAUCCCACCAGUUCUGCAAUUCUUGGCUGAGUGAUUUUGAGCACUUCUCUAGUUCUCAGUUUUCUCAUCUGCAAAAUGAGGAUGUUGACUAGCUGAUUUCAAAUUUCCCUUUUAUGUUCUGUUAUCCAGCUCUCCUUCUUUGGAAUAAUAUGUUGUCUAUGCAAGGAAUGAAAUGAAGACAGAGUACCAAGUGCUCGUUUUUAAUGGACUUUUCCCAUACUUGGAAAUUAGCAGCCCCCAAUUCCAAAUCCUUGGACUAGCUACCUUCUUCCUCAUUAGGGGUGAAGAAAGAGAGAGAAAACAUUUGAGUCGACUCGUGAAACUUUGUGAGGUGAGAAAAUAAAAAACUGUCUGAUAGUAUUGGUUUGGAUCCUCCCUCCACUGUCUGAGGCUCCUCCUGUCACGUGCUUCUGCACUGUGACUCUGCCCAACCCCCUCGCUCACAGGACCAUCUCCCUGUCCUCUCCCUCUGCCCAACUCAUAGGCUCUGGCUUAUCCAACAUUCUUUUGAGGAAGGGUGAGGUAUGACGUGUCAGCAUGAUUUACUAUGUGUGCCAGGGGUUUCAUGGCCUAAUGGGGGAGCCCCACGGUCACACUGAAGCCCUAUCUUCAUGGUUUCAUGUGGACCUGAGGGCCCUCCCUGGACCCCCCACAUAGCGGGUAGGGCCGUACCCAUAGGGUACCUGGUGGGUACCACAGGUACCAGCAUUUACUGGCAGCUGGAAACUGUCUACAUCAGGCUGAAAAGAAGAUGCUUCUUGCCCCUUUGAGAUGAUUAUGAAAAUUUGAGACAAGUAAUUACAUUAUAAAAGUAGAGCCCUGAAAAAAAAAAAAAAAAAAAGUAGAGCCCUGAAUCAGAAAGGUGGUUGGUCAGCGGGAGAACAUGGCUGAACUCUCAAGUCCAGAGGGGCUAUG